GCUCAGUUUUCCUCAAAACCGAUCCCUGAGCUGAGGAAGCUGCUUCCUGUCCCCCGUUUCCUAACACACAGGAAAUUGUGGCACGUCGAGUACGUUCCGGUGUAAGCUUGAUGGCAUGUUCAUAUUCGGGAGGAUCUUCAUUCAAGUCUUCCUCCAAACGAUCCCAGAAUGCUUGGUGCACAAUUUGCUUCACCCUUCUAGUCAAGCUGUGGCAGGCAGGAAAAUAAUGUAAAUAGUUAACAGUGUUAACAUUUGCACUGAAAUGAAUGGUGCUGAAUAAAACACACAUUGUAUCAGUC